AUUCCUACAAGUUUAUCCUCCAAUAGCCGUUGGAGUUGUAGUGAAGACUCUUUUCCUUCUCCACAACUUUCUUCGGAGUGUCCUUCUUAGAUUUGCUCUCCUUCUUCUACUUCUUUACAGGUUUGUUCUUUUUCUUCCCUUGAGACUUUUUCUUGGAAGGUGCCCGCUCAAUAGCAAGAACAGUGCCCCUUGAACUUUUUAAGGUAUCCUCAGUAGUGACCAGUAUAUUGACCAACUCGAGUAAGUUGCAGUCUAAUUUAUUUAUAUGGUAGU
rnacentral:lncRNA from 1 species